GUGUUUAAUUUACCCACUUGUAUCAUGUGAGGAAUCACUUAAACAGCAAUCAUUUUGCAACCAUUAAGAAAAGUAAUCUCCAAUAUUUUCCCGUCGUUUAAAAACAUUUAGUAUUCUGCAUGCUCGUAUUUCAGAAGUUCACCGUCCAAUAAAGUUUAAUUAGGGAUUCAUCCAUAUUUGCUAUUAUAAGAUAUUUUAUUCCACAGACCAAAAGAGUAAUGUCUAUAUUAAGGACGCAACUAUUCACCUCUGAAAGUUAAUGUGCUGAACUGGUGAGCUUUUCCUAAUGAUCUGCAAUUUACAUGUUAUAUGUUCCCAUGACUCAGUUCCUACUAGUGAAUAAAGUACCUCGGUAUUUAUUACUUCUGUGUUAUGUGUAAAAACCAGAGUACUGGGGUAAAAAGUUUAUCUAAACAAAUAGAACAUGUAUUAGAAUGUUUCCCUAUAUAUUACUAACCCACUUGGGAAUACAGCAUGAUUUUACAACCCCAUGUCUGUGAAGUACAGUACUUCAAUUUUCUUAAAUCAUUAUCCCUUUAAUUUCUGAAAACUUUAAUAAAUUUUUUACUAUCAGCCUCAGUAACUUUACAACCACAUAAUAAAAUUUGUGUCACCAAUGUCAGUCAGUCAGUAUUUGCAACUACAGCCUCAACCUAUUUGUCAACAAAAUCUUUUUAAACUCGUUCCCACAACAUUCACACGAAAAGGAGUGGGUGGGAACCACACCCUCAAAUACUAACACUUCCCAGAAUGAGAGGUCACUACCAGGGUGCAAGAGAAGGUGGCAGGGCUUCGCAUGCAGACCUUUACCUACAAUGAUGCAAAGGGCAGUUCCAAGCUGACACGGAAGGAGCUUUACUGGAGCUGCCGAUCUUACAACAUGAAUAAAUUUGGCUGCAUUUCAACAGGCUUCAAGUAUUUUCCUAGCUACCGAAUGAUCUAGAACUCCCUGGAAAAAAAGCUUACUCUGAAAUCUGAAAGCAUCACCUAUCAAACUGGAUGUGGUUCCAAACCAUCUUCUACAAAACUACCCUCUUCCCCCAGAAGAACUAUUCAUUGCUGCAAGAAAGGAAAGUGAGAACUUGGC
rnacentral:lncRNA from 1 species